rnacentral:lncRNA from 1 species
UGAAAUUUGACCAAUAUUAAAAAAGCACCUUAGAACAAUCUCAUUUUAAAGAAAUAGUCUCCCCUCUCCCUCUUAGGUUCCAGGAUGACAUCUUGGGGUCAAGGGACACUUACUUAUAUGCGUGGUGACGAGGGGAAGGGAAGCUGGCUUAUCUGCGCAUGCCUCUCCUUGACAGUGGACCAGCUGACGAGGCAUCAAGGAACCAGGAAAAGCCCGCACACCUGAACUUAAAGCGUUGGCUCCUGUCAUCACUACAAAGACGAAUAACACACUUGUGUGCCUCCUUGGGGAAGCAAGCAUGUGGAUGGGGAACUUUUGAAGAAGACAAAUGGCCCUGGCCUGCUGCUGAACAGAUGAGAACUGUGGAUGAACACUGCUGCCUCCAGAGCUGUCAUGAGGCGAGGCCUCGGCCCACCUGACUCCCAAGUCACGAUCUUCCUGACAGGACAGCGUUCCAGUUCACCGAGGUGCUGUCCUGAGUGUGCAGCGGCAGCUGGGCAGGACAGGUGUGCAGCAUGGAUGGUUCCCGGGCCUCAGCCAGUGUCAGCAGUUGCUACGCAGUGAUUCCCACACCUCCUAUACUGGCAACUUCAGUGACCUUUUGCACCUGAAAAUUCUGGAAAAUAGUGAAUUGUAAAGACCCUGGACACCAAUCUUGGGCAGGUAGCAUGAGUGGUGGUAAGAGUCCAGGAGGGCCUGGUUUGACUCUUGGCUCUUCCAGGCACCAGGAGACCUGGGCCAGAUUACUCUCCACGACUGUUUCCUCAUCUAUAAAAUUGGGAUAAUAAUAGUAUCUUCUCCCCGGAAUUGUUGCAAGGAGUACAGGAGAUGGUGCAUGUUAAUCGCUCAAUCUGGCCCAUAAUAAAUGCUUGAUGUAUGAUAUUGUUAGCUGCUGC